UGACCGAGCAACUCCGCGUGAGUGAAGAAGGUUUUCGGAUCGUAAAGCUCUGUUGUAAGAGAAGAACGAGUGUGAGAGUGGAAAGUUCACACUGUGACGGUAUCUUACCAGAAAGGGACGGCUAACUACGUGCCAGCAGCCGCGGUAAUACGUAGGUCCCGAGCGUUGUCCGGAUUUAUUGGGCGUAAAGCGAGCGCAGGCGGUUAGAUAAGUCUGAAGUUAAAGGCUGUGGCUUAACCAUAGUACGCUUUGGAAACUGUUUAACUUGAGUGCAAGAGGGGAGAGUGGAAUUCCAUGUGUAGCGGUGAAAUGCGUAGAUAUAUGGAGGAACACCGGUGGCGAAAGCGGCUCUCUGGCUUGUAACUGACGCUGAGGCUCGAAAGCGUGGGGAGCAAACAGGAUUAGAUACCCUGGUAGUCCACGCCGUAAACGAUGAGUGCUAUGUGUUAGACCCUUUCCCGGGAUUUAGUGCCGCAGCUAACGCAUAAAGCACUCGCCCUGG
rnacentral:rRNA from 1 species